AUGUAUGUGCACAAUGGGGUUAAGCUGCUGCAUAGACGAAGAACACCGGCUGUUUUGCUGAAGUUGGAUAUCGCCCGUGCUUUUGACAGUAUCUCCUGGGAAUAUUUACUUGAGCUUCUUCAAAACCUAGGCUUUAGCGCAAGGUGGAGAGAUUGGAUUGCUUUGAUGCUGUCGACUUCAAGCUCAGCAGUCAUGCUCAAUGGUGUGUCGGGGAUGGAACUGCUACACCAGUGCGGCCUGCGGCAGGGAGAUCCCCUCUCCCCGCUGUUGUUCAUGCUCGCAAUCGACCCGUUGCACCGCCUGCUGCAGCUUGCGACCAAGAGAGGCCUGAUCAACCCGCUGUCAGGUCGGGAGUUGAAGCUUCGGGUGAGCUUAUACGCAGAUGAUGCAAUCCUCUUCGCAGACCCGAAUGCUGAAGAGAUCGAGGCUCUAAUGAGCAUUCUCAACAAUUUUGGGGAAGCAACGGGGCUGAAGAUAAACCUCCACAAAUCAACUGCGACUCCAAUUCGCUGUGAUGACAUCGACAUGACUGAGAUCCUAUGGAGCUUCGGAGAGCAAACAAAGUUUUUUCCCAUAACCUACCUUGGGUUGCCGAUCACGCCCUCGAGGAUCAGAAUGGUGCACCUUCACUUUGUGAUCGACCGCAUCCGAGCGCGGUUGGCAGGCUGGAAACAGAAGCUACUGAGCAUCGCUGGGCGACGGUUUCUUGUGUGUUCACUUCUGUCAGCCCUGCCAACAUUCACCUUCACCGCCCUGCGAGUGCCAAAAAAGCUGCUCAGGGAGAUUGACAAGUCCAGCGACGAUUUCUCUGGGCCCAUGACAAAGAGAUGA
rnacentral:rRNA from 1 species